rnacentral:rRNA from 1 species
GUUAGUGCAAUGGCAUAAGCCAGCUUGACUGCGAGCGUGACGGCGCGAGCAGGUGCGAAAGCAGGUCAUAGUGAUCCGGUGGUUCUGAAUGGAAGGGCCAUCGCUCAACGGAUAAAAGGUACUCCGGGGAUAACAGGCUGAUACCGCCCAAGAGUUCAUAUCGACGGCGGUGUUUGGCACCUCGAUGUCGGCUCAUCACAUCCUGGGGCUGAAGUAGGUCCCAAGGGUAUGGCUGUUCGCCAUUUAAAGUGGUACGCGAGCUGGGUUUAGAACGUCGUGAGACAGUUCGGUCCCUAUCUGCCGUGGGCGCUGGAGAACUGAGGGGGGCUGCUCCUAGUACGAGAGGACCGGAGUGGACGCAUCACUGGUGUUCGGGUUGUCAUGCCAAUGGCACUGCCCGGUAGCUAAAUGCGGAAGAGAUAAGUGCUGAAAGCAUCUAAGCACGAAACUUGCCCCGAGAUGAGUUCUCCCUGACUCCUUGAGAGUCCUGAAGGAACGUUGAAGACGACGACGUUGAUAGGCCGGGUGUGUAAGCGCAGCGAUGCGUUGAGCUAACCGGUACUAAUGAACCGUGAGGCUUAACCUU